UUUUUUUUUUUAAAUGUGUUGUUCUAACCCAAAGUAUGUAUGAUUACUUGCGAAAUACAAAAGAGUCCCUUUUGCCACCGGUCCGAGUCAUGAAAAUUUCCCCAUGCUAUGCUUUAAGUUCAUAUUGCAUUAGUCUAGGCCUUGGAUGAUCUGGAUCGCGUGUGCUUCGUGCCACUUGCAGCCGAACUCUUGCAGCCAAUUGUUGAUUUCCAAAGUCCAAUCCAGAUCUUGUGCUCGUUGUUUAUUAAUCAGGGCUUUUUAUUUACCAACAAAAAACCAAAAAACUGGCUGGGCAUAGUUUCAUUGAGCACGAAAAUAAGUUUCUUAUGUCCUUGAUGUGAAAUGCUUCUUAAGACUUAAGCUGCAUUUACAUUUCUGACCAUUUUGAGCUGGAAAGCAUGCAUGCUUCUAUAUGUCAAGCAAAGCGAUAAAAGGAUGUUCAAGCAUUUGCAGGUAUUUUGUGAUUAAUGUCUGUUUUCAUCUCCUAGUUUCACCCUUCCACAGGUGCCAAUGUGGAGCGAUCUCGAACAGAAAAAAGCUUCCAAGCAGACAUAAAUCGAUUUGCUGCAUUGACUGAUCACCUUUCUUCCUUAGGAACAAUGACACUUGAAACAGAAAACUCAUUUUCGAGCAGAAAUAAUCAGUGAUGUGAAUAGUAGUUCAUCCUGGAGUGUUCGUAACAUCUCUGAGAGAAUUUUGUUUCGCAAUCUAGCAGUUCUCCAAGAGAAGGUUUAUAGCCAAGCUUCCCCGCAUUGUAGCUGAAUCUCAGCCUAGAUCUUGGCGAGAGGGCCGCCAUGUUUUCCCACACGGUUUUCGAAUCGAUUUCAUGUGACAGUUAUUGUCACAUGACAAAGGAACAGAAAGAGAGGCAAAACAUUGUGUGUUCGUUUCGGGGCAUUACAACAGACUCCAAUUCCUUGGUCUCAUGUUAGGAGAUUCUAGUCGGUGACACCAUGACCAUGCUUUCUCACUCGGUUUUCUCUUUGCUCGUCCUUUCCCUUUCUCUUUGCUGCACAUAAGGGUGACAAAAAAUAAAGGUCUUUUUUUACACCCUUAUUUCUGUUGCAAAUUCUGAUGGUGGCUGUUUCUAAUUAUUAAACAGUGUUUCUUACACAAAUCACAUUUCUUUUUCAUUCUCCCAUGACUUAAGCUAAGGAUCCUUCAUUCUAAUUGUCAUGGAACUACUGAUUAAUUGAUGAGGGUGUAGUUGAGCUCGAUAUCUCCAUAUUUUGACCUUGUUGUUAGCUACAUCACAAGAGGUUUAGUAAACUAUAGAAUAAACUUAUAUAAAAAUUUUUUUGGAUGGAUCAGUAUCAUAAAUUACAUUACAAUUUUUGGUUUGAGAUGGUAAUGGAUAUACCUAGAAAAUGCUUGGAUAUUUUAGAAUAUUCUAUCAUCUUAUGGUUGUUAUUCAUUUAGAUUAAUUUUGUAUUUAUAAUUUAUAAACAUUUUUUAGUAUAUUAUUUUUUAUUCUGUCAUCUAAUGGUUGAUAUGCAAUAAUAUUAAUCUUGUGUAUAUAAAUUACAAACAUGCUUAUAAUUAUAAACUUUAUUUGAUUAUUAAACAAACCAAGCAAUGCAACACGUAGCAAUUUAUUACAAAAUUACAUCAAAGCUUUCAAGUUGGACCCAUCUCUCCUUGGAACUGACAAGAAACACAACACACAAAACUGCAGUUCGAAGCAGCAAGCUGGUGGUGCUCCAAAAUCCUUGCAGACUUUGCUGGAUUGAAGCAUCUGGAGCAGCCCAUGCUUCAUCUCCUAUUGCCAAGAUGAAACAAAAGAGCUCUCUCCUUUUCAAUGGAAGUGGGGGCUGGCCUGAUGCUGUAGAGCAGUUGAUAUCCCACCGAUGGUGGACCAUCAUCAAGGCUUUUUGUGCGGCUCCUCCGCAGAAAAAGAAUUUGUAAGAACAAUCUUUUAUAUUUUUUUUUAAUUCACACAUUAGCAGAUUUACAUGGUCCUUAUGUAAGAGCAACAUUAUUUUUAUAAAUAUUUCUUUAUCCACUCAUGUUCGAGGACCUUUUCGAAAGUAAGCCUCCUUCCGGGAUCCAAUUCCGUCAUACCUUGGAUAAGUUGCCUUGCAGAAAGGGAUGGAAUGCUAUCCCAAUCCAUAGAAUUGUGAUGGAGGUUCCUUAAAGUUCGAUCUCUCUUGCGUGCAUUAUUAAAUACCACCUCCACAUCCAUAUUUGGGAACGGACAAGCUGCCGUGAGGCAAGUGUAAAGCAGCAUCCCUAAGCCCCACACAUCGCUGGCUGUGAUAUAGCGCCCAUCGAGCAUCGCUUCGGGGGACAUAUAAUCCCACGUCCCAGCCCCAUGCUCGUUCCACGGAUCCUCCAUCCAGCAAGCCAUCCCAAAGUCGGACACCUUUGGGACAUAGAACUUCCCAGGCCACGGGUACUUCAGCAAAACAUUCGCGGGCUUCAGGUCGCAGUGGAUGAUCUCGUUGUCAUGAACCCUCUUUAGCGUCUUGGCGAGAGCUAUGACAAUCUUUGCAGAUUCUUCCUCAUCAAGCUGCCCCUUGUACUUGAUCCGGUCCUGAAGGCUGCAAUUGCACAGCUCAAGAACAAGGUGGUACACCUCCCUGUACUGAUUGGGCUCUUCUCGUAUGAUGUGCUCGAAGUGGACGAGCCCCUGUUCAUCCAAACCCUUGAGUGACACCUCUAGCAUAGCCAUCACUCGAGCUUCAAACAGCCCAUCGGGGCCAUGAACUGUCUUGAUCGCAAAAACCUUUCCAUCACUCCUUCGGAAUGCCUUGUACACCAUCGCUUGCCCUCCACCCCCAAUCGACUUCUCUAGUCUAUAUUUCUCUAUGAGCACUGGGUAUUUGUCACAGAGUUUUUCAUCCAGGACCGUGUGGUACUCCAUCCCUUGCCUAGGUUUCUUGAGCGCAUAGUUCUCCUGCUCGCACUCGCACUUAACCAUCUCGAAAGAGCUCUAGGGCUUGUUUGUAAAGGCAGAAUCUUAGUUUAUGCAUCUUUUAUUUUAAAGGUAUCAUGUUUAAGUGAACAUUUCCUGGAAUGCCAAGUGUGGAAGCAUGAGAGACUCUCGGCGAUGGGAUUGAGAACCACGACGUUGUCUCCUGGACGGUAUUGGUUCUGGGAUACGCUCGAAGAUUUGGCUCUGGAGCUCUUCUUGGAGAUGAUUGCUCGAGUUUUCUCGCGGCUAUCAAAGCUUGCUCUAGUCUGGCUGCGCGAGAGGAGAUUGAUGCGUCGUUGGCUGUGAAGAUCAAGAGCUUGGAACGAGCUUUGGCGAUUCACUCUCACGCAUCAAGCUCUCACGGCUUCAAGUUGGAGGCGAGGAGACAUACACUUGGCAAACGCGAUGGUGGACUUGUAUGGCAAGUGUGAAAGUCUAGAAGAUGCUCGCAGGGUGUUUGAUUCGAUGGAGCAGCACGACAUCGUUUCCUGGACAUCGAUCAUCACAGGCUAUGCUCACGAGAGCCAAGAUGGAGACGAAGCUUUCCUUCUCUUCUCUUCCAUGCAAGAACAAGGAUUUAAACCCGAUCGUUUAGCUUGUCUCGCCGCUAUCAAGGCUUGUAGCGUAAUCACGGAGAAGAAAAUGGAAUUUAGACGUAGAAUCUCUCGAGAAAGCAAUGAAAAUCCACUCGUGGAUCUCGCAGCUUGGCCUGGAGAGAGAUCCAGCAGUCUGGUUGAUAUGUAUGCCAAGUGUGGAAGCUUGAUCAUGGACGCUCGCAGGGUAUUUGAUAAGAUCUUAGAUCGCGACAUAGUCUCGUGGAACUCUUUCCUGUUUGGAUGUGUUUACAUUGGCGAGGACGAGCUUGCGUUGGAAUGCUAUGCAGCCCUUUGCUCCAAACUCUCAAACCUUUCUUGCGUUGUUGCCAGUUUGCAGGAACCUGGGAGAUUUGAAGCUCGGGAAGCUCUUCCACGGACAGAUUCUCCGGCAGGGACUGGAAGGGAGUUCUGUGGGGAUUUCCCUGCUUGUGUUGCGGACCACAUAGAAAUCGCUUCCUGCUUCCUGAUGUUGUCAAUCUUUCCAUCACUUUCUUUUCUCCAGGUCCGAAUCACAGCGAAAAGUGGAGCUACCUCUCUGAUACAAUGGCGGCAAUCGAUGGUGGCUUUGCGAAACCUUUGUGGCAAAAAUCCAAUGUGAGAGCUUGGCGAGAGCUUGUUGACAACACCAAGCUUGCUCUCGAGCUUGGUGACUGUGUAAACUCGCUGGUAGCAGCAAAACCAAGGCUCUCAAAACUCCAACAGGGAUCACGCCUUCAAAGAUUGUUUGGCGCGAAUCCUCAAAUAUACAUCAAAGUUUUUUCUCAAGUGCAUCUUUUCCUACUCGCAUGCUCCGAAAUGCUUGGAACCCAGCGAUGGCGUCUCCUCGAGCGCCAUGUCCUGCAAUCAAAGUAUUCCAUGCCAAAGUGUUGGGAGACGCAAUGGAGCUCUCAAACACAAGCUCGGCGACCUCGACGCUCCCGCAUUUACAGUAGAAGUCGAGACUACAUAUCACCUAGUCUGCAGUGAAGGAAAAAGAGAAAGAUCUCAUACCUAUGUGCAAGAUCUAGCAAUUCCAACUUGUCCACAAAUCAUACAGUUGCAUCCUAUCACAACAUUAUGUCCAAUCUACAUGCAAAGAAGCCAAGAGUAAGCAGUGCUUAAUAAAAGAAAAAAUUUCUCAAACGUGAACCAAGUCGUCAAGCUUCACCUUAUCCCAGAUGACUGUAUCACACCAGCUGAUGAUUAGUCCAGGGCAAAUGAGACUUCAGAAGAAGAACGAGCCACUUUUGUUACCUCUCAGGGUCGAGGAUGAAUUGGCACUCACUGCUUCCAAUCUUUAUCAGCAAUUCCUAAGAAAAAAACAUUGUUUAUUAUUUAUAAUAAAUCAGUGCUCCGAAAAUUUUGUAUUUUAACCCCACACUUUUAUUUUUCCCACUUUUCCUAAACAAGAUAUUGUUUCAGAAUGUUUAUAAAUUCUAAAUAUGUUAUAGUUCGCUAGAUUGACGGUUUGCUCAAAAGUAAUUUGUAUGAUCAAUUAUCUUUUCUAUUUUUAAUUUUAUCUUUACUCUCCUGUUCAUUGUUACGAUCAAAACUCUUGGUCAUAGUUUCACAUCUACGUGUACAAAAAAAGCUGGACGCUACUUGCGAGGAAAUGCUUGGUCGUCGACUUGAGGCAGGAGACCAAGCAGCUCAAGGCACAGUUGAGUUAGUUUCUUUCAUUUCUUCAGAUGUACAGUAUUUCUAGAGGAUGCUCGGAGCGUCUUCGUGGAGAUAGAGCAGCCGAACAAGGUUGCAUCAUAUCUAGAGUUGCGGAUUUCGACUAAUGCUCUGGCUAGAUGCGGAAAUGGCCUUAAUUCCGGUUGAGUUGGACCGUUUGCGGACCUCAUUUCAGCUGAAUUCGUUAGGGUUUGGUUGCGUGAUCAUGAAUGAAAAGUAGAUUUGGAAGCGCGAGAUUUCCCUCUGGAUCCAGGAAUUUUGAGAGUCAGGCCGAAAUGGAGAAGAUUUGGUGUCUCGGCUGCAUUUUCUUGCGCCGGCAUCUCAUUCCACGCGACGUUGCAUCACAUCUUGAGCAUCGAAGUAGUCAGUAAACUCAAGAUCCCUGAUGUAUCAUUCGAGAUAAGAUUUUGUUUAUAAACGGUUCCCAAGAUCCUUGGUGUCAUACCUCCAAGCAAACUUCUUCGCUUAAUGGUAAGAGAGCCAUCAUAAGCUAUGUCGUCUCAAAUCUGCAAUUGCAGAGCCCGCAUAUGUGACAAAAUGUCAAAACUGCGCUCAUGGAGUUGAUGUGUGAGGCUGUCUGCAGAGUAUCGGAGUAAACCCAUGGAUUUCGUUUAAUCAAGACGAUGGCUGAGGGGCACUCUUCCUUGUGGCUCUGAGGAUGGCACUGGGACCUCUGUUGCCUAGGCUGCAUCCAAACUCUCCCUAACUUUCGAAGUGGUGAACAAAAGUUUUUGGGUGAGAACAUGAUGGAGAGUGUGGUAAGUUGAGGAGGAAAGACUAAGAAAUCAUGCAAAAGAUUGGAAGGAAGAAGAGGAGAGAGGGAAGAGAACAAAGCACCUCUCUCUAUGUGAUUUUUAGGGCUGUGGAGUCCCAAAGGACUUUAAACAUGAUAACAGGGAUGGAGCUCAGCAUGGAUGGCUUGAACUCAAUGGACUUGGACACUCACUAUCACUAGCUAAGUUUUGUGGAGCAUUAUUGUAGCAUUCCCAUACCUUUUUAGCAUUUAAUUUUUACUAUUGAUUUUUGGUUUGCUUAAGCAAAUCUGUAAGUCUAGAAUAUGAGGAUAUUCUACCAUUUAAAAGUUGUUAUUCAUUGUUUAUAAUUUAUAAAACUUCUUAAGCACUUUCUAGUAUAUUCGUUUUUAUUUUACCAUCUAAUGGUUGAUAUGCAAUAAAAUUUAUAUUGUGUUUAUAAAUUAUAAACAUAUUUAUAAUUAUAAAUUUUUAUUUGAUUAAUUGGAUUAAUAAGUAAGAAUAACAUUACUAUUGAGCAAACCAAACAUUGCUAUGACUGAAAGCUCACCAUGCCUUUUCCCUCCUCUAAGGAGAAUAAUCUCCCCAACUUAGAGACUUAUUAGACCACUUGUGGUGGUUCUCUCCCUUUAUUUAGUUUAAUUUUUGUUAGACCCAUUAAAGACACCUUUUCUAUCUCUGCAAUGCGUAACUGAUUUUUACUAUUUUAUAUAAAAACACAAUAAAAUAUCCCUCAAACCAUUUUACAUAAUUAUUAGAGGCAGUAAAUUGCAUUUGUGAGGUUCAAGUGUACAAUUACGAUGCCAUAUACUAAUAUUAGAGUCGUGGGAUUUUGAUAAUUAUUAGAUUAGUUUUAAUAUUCAUUUCUAUAUAUAAACUAGGGUUUUGGGCUAAUUGAUAUACAUAUUUCUGUUUUCCAUUUUUAUAUUUUAUGCAUGGUGGAGGUGAAGUGUAGUUUUAAUUAUCCCUAUGAAGUGUUUGGAUUUAGUAUUUUAGUUUGAUCUAACUUUUAUAUAGUUUAAAUUUUCUUUUCUUUCUAGCUUUUCCAAUUUCUUCUUUGUUGCUUUUCCUUUAUAUUCAUCUUUAUGGCAGAGCUUUCUCUUUUAACUUUGGAGCAGUAGUUGGUGCAAUUACUUGAUAUUAUGUGAUUAUAAUUGAAUAAUCAAACUCAAUUAAUGGCAACAUUCACAGCAUGUGAUAGAACUCCUCACCAAUCCUUGCGUCCGGUUGGAGUUCUUUUGUGGGAGUCCUAGAGAUGAUGUGUACUAUUAGUUUGAUCAUUUUAUAGCAUAUAUUAUUUUUGGGAUAAUGCUCAGUGUUUGCAUGAAUUUCCCACAUGUGUUUAAAGGACAGUGUUAUAGUGGUAUAGUGGUUUAAGUGCAGUUACUCAUGAGGAUUAGAGCAUUCUCCUAAAUGUCUUUAUGCAUUUGGACAUGCCAACAAUUAUGAUGAUGCCUUCCAACAAUUGCAUCAUUUUUGUCAAAGGCUGUCUAAGUUAAUGAUGUAAUUUGAUGUUUGUUUUUUGCUUCAUACCAAAUAUGUCAGAGAGGAUCAAAUUAAAUGUUGUGGCCAACACUUCAUAAAGAUCUUGUAAAAUUUAUGUAUACACUUGCUCUAGCCACCCUAGAUAAUACUCUUCACUUGGCAUAAUGUUAUGAAAUGUUAUUUUUUCCACUUCUCAUUGUAUAUCCUUUAGUUCCAUUUCUUAUAAAAGAUAGUCAUGUUCUAAUGGAGGUGGAUGUUAUUGCCACCUAAGUUCAAGAACAAGGACGAAGACGUAAUUAUAGCUGUGAUGUUUAUUGUUGGGCAUAUGAUAAAAGUGGUUACAUUUAUGAGUAUUGUUAAUAUUUUCAAAAGUGGUGACCUCCAUUUCCUGGGUGGAAACUUUAAUAUCAACAACAUCCUAUUAGUGUUGUUACAAUAGAAAGUCUAAAUAUUGAGAUGCUUAUGAGAAACAAAGAGUUGUAAGAGUAAAGUGGGAACAUCCACAACACCAAGAAUUUCUUCGAUUAGAGCUUUGCGUCUUGGAAUCUGAUGAUCACUGCCUACUCGCAUGACAGCCAGGUGAAAUCUGCCAAGAGCCUCUUCAAUCAAACUCCAGCCAAGAACCUCCUCCUCUACAACGCAAUGUUCAUAACCUAUGCCCAAAAUGAGUGCCAUGCCCUUGCGAUUGAGCUCUUUGCCUUGAUGCUGUGCAGAGAUCUCGUCUCCUACAAUGCAAUGCUCUCUGCGCUCGCGAAAUCUAGCCCUAUUGAUCAAACCAAAGAUUUCUUCGACCUAAUUCCCGAGAAGAACAUCGUUCCAUGGAAUGCGAUGCUCACAACAUAUGCCGAGAAUGGGCAUCUGGAAAUGGCGAUUUCCAUGUUCGAUUCGAUGAGCCAUCAUGAUAUUGUGUCCUACACUGCCAUGCUCACUGCGUAUGGAUCGAGCGGCCAGAUAGAACACGCAAGAACAGUGUUUGAUUCGUCACCCCAGAAGGACGUUGUUUUAUCAACUGCCAUGCUCGCAGCAUAUGCCCAUUUAGGGUUCUUGGCAGAGGCUAGCACAAUUUUCCAAUCUAUGCGAGAAUGCAGCAUAAUCACGUGGAAUUCUAUGUUAGCUGCUCACGCAUUGAGCAGCACAAUCGAGAAAACGAAGUGGAUUUUCGAUUUGAUGCCGGUAAGAGAUACAGUGUCUUGGAUUUUGAUGUUCAGCGCAUAUGCCCAGAUUAGGCAUCUGGAGAAAGCGAUUUCCUUCUUCACGACAAUGCCAAUGCCACACGCAGUCCCAGAUCGCGUCGUGCCCUGGAACACGAUGCUCGCGGCGCACGGAACCAGCGGCCAGGACGCCGGGGCCGCGAAUUUGCAAGGUGUGGCCCCGGAUGCCGUCUCCUUUUGGGGGCGUUUGGCCACACCGGGGACGUGGAUUCCAGCUGGAGCUACCUUGUGUCGAUGCGCAGCGAUUACUCGAUCCAGCCGGAGAAGCUCCACUUUGGGUGGGCGAUCCGGGCUCGAGCUGGGAACUUCGAUUUCGCCCGGGAUCUCCUCGACAACAUGCCAUUCGUUCCAGGGAUCGAGCAAUUGAGCUGCCUGACACUGUUCUAGAGCCAAACAAAUUAGAUUUCGUCCAGGAACUUCCAGAGAUCGAGCAAUUGAGCUAUGACGCAAUCGCCCAUCUCGAGAUCUAGACUAGACAAUUGGUAGAAACAAAGAUCUUCCUCCUUGGUCCUUUCAAAGGGCUGUCUCUUCGCUCUUCGGAGCACUGGCCGCCUCGACUCUCUCCUGGACAGCAUCCACAGCCUUGUCUUGGACGCUGCUUUUCCCCUUGAGAUCCUCGGCCGCGGCCUUGAGCUCUCCCGCCGCGGCCUCUUUCUUCUCUGGAGCAACGUCGGCCUCUCUCGACUGAUAAGUGUGGAGAUAAUCCUCGGCCUUCUUUACGUAGUUCCCAAACGGCGUGCCUUCGAGCUUGCCAUAGUGUGAGGCGCCCUGGAGAAUGUCCUCGGCAGCGUCGGCGAGCUUGGCAGUGUCCAUACCCCCACCACCACCUUCCUUCUUAGCUCCUGCUCCUCCCAUUUGCUGCUUCGCGGCGUCUAGAAGAACGUUGGCACUGCCCAUAAGCUCCGAGUAGCUUGGAACUUCGCCGCUGGUCUUCUUUGCCUCCCCCGUGCUGCUCUUCUUUGGCUCCUCCGUGCUUGGUCCAUGGCCUGCUUCUUCCGUCUUUGGCUUCUCGCUCUCCUUCUCUCCGCUGAGAAAGGAUCCUGCCUGCUUCUUGAAGAAAUCCAUACAGGAAAAAAAGAAAUGUGAGCAGACAAAGAGAAGAUGAACCGAGAAGAAGAGCCGAGGGUAAACU
rnacentral:lncRNA from 1 species